rnacentral:rRNA from 1 species
GACGAACGCUGGCGGCGUGCUUAACACAUGCAAGUCGAACGGUAAGGCCCUUCGGGGUACACGAGUGGCGAACGGGUGAGUAACACGUGGGUGAUCUGCCCUGCACAUCGGGAUAAGCCUGGGAAACUGGGUCUAAUACCGGAUAGGACCCUGGGAUGCAUGUCCUGGGGUGGAAAGCUUUUGCGGUGUGGGAUGGGCCCGCGGCCUAUCAGCUUGUUGGUGGGGUGAUGGCCUACCAAGGCGACGACGGGUAGCCGGCCUGGGAGGGUGACCGGCCACACUGGGACUGAGAUACUGCCCAGACUCCUACGGGAGGCAGCAGUGGGGAAUAUUGCACAAUGGGCGCAAGCCUGAUGCAGCGACGCCGCGUGAGGGAUGACGGCCUUCGGGUUGUAAACCUCUUUCAGCACCGACGAAGCGCAAGUGACGGUAGGUGCAGAAGAAGGACCGGCCAACUACGUGCCAGCCGCCGCCGUAA